ACUGUCUCCUUAGUAAUCCAAAAUUCUAGCUCCUUCCCUGGGGAAGCAUUGCCUGUGUCCCGGGUUGUCCUUCCCCAUCCUGACUCUGGGAGCCGGCUGGUGUAAUAAGAGAAAUACUUUGGCUGAAGAUCCACCUCAAACACCCUCUCCCAACUGCUUUUUUCUACAUGGUCCAUUUUUCAAAACUGCGAUCUUUUUUCUCUAAUGCCCAUUUGUGGGUAAGGGGGUGGGGGAGGGUGUGUUGGAAGGAAAGACAUUCAGGUCCAGGAAAGGCCCCCAAAUCGACCGCUUUGUGUUCCGUCCUCUGCGUAAGCAUCCUUGUCCAGCAGUGGGGUUUUCCUGCCUCUGAUGGUGCGCCUCCCUGUUAAAACACUGUGUCCUGCUUUUUCCUUUCCCUGCCCCUGGAACAGGUCAAGGGAGAGGACAGAGCUCCACCCUCUAAAGGGAGUUCCA
rnacentral:lncRNA from 1 species